GCAGUCUCCCCCCACACACCCCCCUCUGAUCCCCUAGCGAAGAAAAAGCAGCCCCCUGGGUGCUCAGCCCACACUGACCCUGCUGCAGGAUGCGCCCGAAGGCCUUGCUGUGGCUGGAACAGUUCCAGCGGCGGAAACGGAACUGGAACUGGCACUCUCGCACCCCAAGCCGGGCGCCCCGGGCUAGCUCCGCCACCACUUCUGGCUCAGCCUGGCACAGCUCAGCCUGCCGCCCUGCCAGCCGCCGUGCUUUCCUGCAGAUGCUGAUUGAAGACAUACUAAAGACAAAGAUGUCAUGAGGAAGCAUAACAUCAUCAAGAGGGCACCUUCAGACUUUGGGGAGGCUGAGCCUGGGGUUUGGAUCUGGGCUCUGCCAUUUGCCUGGUUGGCACUUAAUAUUUGUUGAAUGAAUGAGACCUCACCUUCUGAGCCUCAGUUUCCACAACUGUGAAAUGGAAAUAAAUGAUACCUGACUGCUUCUCUGGUGCACAGGAAAAGAGCCUGUCCAGAGAAUGAGACCCAGCAA